rnacentral:rRNA from 1 species
GCUAGCGGCAGGCUUAAUACAUGCAAGUCGAACGGUAAGGUCUCUUCGGAGAUACACGAGUGGCGCACGGGUGCGUAACGCGUAUGCAACCUACCUUCAACUGGGGAAUAGCCCCGAGAAAUCGGGAUUAAUACCCCAUAACAUCCAGGAAUUGCAUAGUUUCUGGAUUAAAGCUCCGGCGGUAGAAGAUGGGCAUGCGUGGCAUUAGUUAGUUGGUGAGGUAACGGCUCACCAAGGCAACGAUGCCUAGGGGUCCUGAGAGGGUUAACCCCCACACUGGUACUGAGACACGGACCAGACUCCUACGGGAGGCAGCAGUAAGGAAUAUUGGGCAAUGGACGAAAGUCUGACCCAACCAUGCCGCGUGCAGGAUGACUGCCCUAUGGGUUGUAAACUGCUUUUGUACAGGAAAAAACUUCCGGUCGUGCACCGGGACUGAUGGUACUGUGCGAAUAAGCAUCGGCUAACUCCGUGCCAGCAGCCGCGGUAAUACGGAGGAUGCAAGCGUUAUCCGGAUUUAUUGGGUUUAAAGGGUGCGCAGGCGGAAUGGUAAGUCAGUGGUGAAAUCUUCCGGCUCAACCGGGAAACUGCCAUUGAUAC